UUAGAAUCAAUCAAUGGAAAAAAAGUCCAUAAUCUUCAAAAUACAACAUUUUAAAUAAAGACAGUGUAACUCUUAUGCUAAAACAUCUUUUUCAGAGCCCUUUUAUUGGGGAGGAGAUCCGUAUUAGAAGUAAUUUUUUCUUAAUGAAGAGGCAAAACUUUACUAGUUGGAGAAUGUGCAAGGAUACCCUUUCGAAUAUUAGUUUUUUCUCCAACUAUUUUCUUCUCCGUUUCUCUAAGGUUAAGUGGGCAGCCACUCUGUACUUGGUUGCCUGAGGGACGUUAUUUGGUAUAGUGAAAAUCAGAAACGUAAGAUCCUGUGCCUUUUAUUUUCCCAAACCAUAACUCUUGACAUGAAUAUGGACGGCUUUCAAAAGAAGUAAAAAUGUUGGAGAGAGUUCCAUGGCAUAGACAAAGUGGCUUAGGCAAAAAUAUGAAGGGGGAAGGAUUUUCCUGAACUUGAAAGAUUCUUUUAGGACAUAAGCCUGCAGAGGGAUGGGAAAAAUCUCCUUAUAUGACUGAGGUCAAUGAAUUUUGCCUGUCUGGUAGGAGUGAGGGCUCAAAUAGAGAUUGAUUGCAUUUAUUGUAAUGUAACUGUGUGAUGUUUCUCAAACACUUUUGUUUGUGAACUAAGGAUCGUACUUAGGGCUGUCAAAUUGUAUUUUACCAAUAUAGAGUUUAACAUAAUUGUCUCUAUUCUUUUUACCAAAUACAUGAUGUACGAGAGCAGGGACUUUGUAAAUCUAUCACCAUUGUUUCCUCUGGCAUAGAGUAUAUGCUGAGUUAAUGAUAUGGUAGAUAAAUGAAUUUCAGUGCAUGAGAUGGUUGUUUAAACUCUUUCGCAUAGGAAAGCAAGUGUCCAGUGUAUAUUUUAAAGAAUAGUGUGUAAUACUUACAUAUUUCUGUGUAUGUGUAUCAUAAUUACAGUAAUAAUCAUGUUUGAUAUAACUUAUUUAAUGAACAAGUCCUUUGAAAGUUAUGAAGUGCACUACAUGAGUAAGGUAUUUAUCAUAUUAAUAUUAAUAAAAUGUAUUCUUAGACUGGCACCAAAGUUUAUCAACAAUGUAUCCUGCAGUAAGCUUGCUGCAUUUGGAGAAAACUGGGCUCUAGAAGUGGAUACAUCUUUGGAAACACUGUGACAAUUAUGUGAAAGUGCAGUUGUCCUGCUGAAUCACUGCUGCUAUUUCCUGAGCUUCAAGUUAGGGCUGAGACCCUCAGAAGUCUCAUCAGUCAACAUCUUCCAUGGUCUACAGAUUCAUGAGAAGUUUGGAACACAGAGUCACUGGCUGCAUUUUAAAGCAGCAACUUAAUGGAGCCUGAAAUUUUAAGUUAUCGUGGCUGGAGAUCAGAUUGUCUACCUGCCUUGUGGGAAUCUGGAGAGGGUUGAUGAGAUGAGCUCUUUGGAAGAAUCAUUGCUAUAUAAAUAUGAAUCAGAGCAAAGACAAUAAUUCUGCCUCCAAAUUGCCUUAGGAGUUAAACAGUGUUCAAUAAACAUAGUAUAAUA